rnacentral:tRNA from 1 species
GGGGAUUUAGCUCAGUGGUAGAGCGCUUACCUAGGAAGCCCAAGGCCCUGGGUUCGGUCCCCAGCUCCGGGGGAAAAAAAAAAAAAAAAAGACUGCUCUUCCUGGAAGUCCUGAGUUCAAUUCCCAGCAACCCCA